rnacentral:rRNA from 1 species
AACGAACGCUGGCGGCGUGCUUAACACAUGCAAGUCGAACGCGAAAGUUUUCUUCGGAAAGCGAGUAGAGUGGCGCACGGGUGAGUAACGCGUAAGUAAUCUACCCUGGUAUCCGGGAUAACCUACCGAAAGGUGUGCUAAUACCGGAUACGCUGAUUUAUCAGGAAGGUGGCCUCUUCAUGAAAGCUACUGUACUGGGAGGAGCUUGCGUACCAUUAGCUAGUUGGUAGGGUAAUGGCCUACCAAGGCGACGAUGGUUAGCGGGUCUGAGAGGAUGAUCCGCCACACUGGAACUGGAACACGGACCAGACUCCUACGGGAGGCAGCAGUGAGGAAUAUUGCGCAAUGGGGGAAACCCUGACGCAGCGACGCCGCGUGGAUGAUGAAGGCCUUCGGGUCGUAAAAUCCUGUCAGAUGGAAAGAAGUGCAUGGUAGCUAAUAUCUGCCGUGUUUGACGGUACCAUCAAAGGAAGCACCGGCUAACUCCGUGCCAGCAGCCGCGAUAAUACGGAGGGUGCAAGCGUUGUUCGGAAUUACUGGGCGUAAAGCGCGCGUAGGCGGCUAUUGGGAAAUACCGCCUCACUACAGGGCUAAUUCGUGGAAGUGCAUUUGAAACUGGAUGGC